rnacentral:rRNA from 1 species
UUUGCGUGCCCCAGUACACACGGUAAGCUCACCGCCUGGGGGAGUACGAGCGCAAGCUUAAAACUCAAAGGAAUUGACGGGGGGCCCGCACAGCAACCGGAGCGUGUGGCUUAAUUCGACGCAACGCGAAGAACCUUACCCAGGCUUGACAUGCUAUUGCGAGCGCACGGAAACGUGUGACCUGCGAGGGGAUAGCACAGGUGCUGCAUGGCUGUCGUCAGCUCGUGUCGUGAGAUGUUGGGUUAAGUCCCGCAACGAGCGCAACCCUUGCCGGUGGUUACAAGUGUCUACCGGGACUGCCGUGAGUGGAGGAAGGCGGGGAUGACGUCAAGUCAGCAUGGCCCUUACGCCUGGGGCGACACACACGCUACAAUGCGACGCACAAUGCGUUGCGACUCUGCAAGGAGAAGCUAAUCGCGAAAGCGUCGCUCAGUGCAGAUCGGGGGCUGCAACUCGCCCCCGUGAAGGCGGAGUUGCUAGUAACCGCGUAUCAGCCAUGGCGCGGUGAAUACGUACCCGGGCCUUGUACACACCGCCCGUCACGUCAUGGGAGUCGGUAAUGCCUGAAGUCCGUGGGGUAACCGUAAGGAGCCAGCGGCCGAGGGCAGGAUUGGCGACUGGGACGAAGUCGU